rnacentral:lncRNA from 1 species
UAUUUUGAAACUGAAAUUACAUGAAGGAUUAAUAUACAUGAAUGAAUGUUUGUGUACAGUUUACAAUUGAUCAUUUACAGUAUUUGAUUUAUGCUCAAAUCCUAUUUGCUAAGUGUUCGACUGCAUCUUGGCUUGAAACCCUGCUGUGUGUGUGUGUGAAUCGAGGUUAGGGGGCGGCAGCCGCGGGGCUGCCGGUGGUCGACGGACGGCGGCGGAGCCACAGGGUGGUCUCCGUUCUGCCAAGAGAGAAAGAGAGGAGGGAUUUCAGAUUUUAAUUUAAAAAAAAGGGAAAAGAUGAGGAAAAAGAAAAAGAAAAUGAGAAUACGGAGAUAGGGUUUUACCUGGGUUGUCGGCGGCUGCGGCUGCGGCUUCGCCGGAAAUCGGAGGGAGGAAGGGCGGCGGCCAUGGCUGUCCUGUGGUCGCCGGAUUCGAGGGAGUCGGUGAUUCAGGGCUUCGGCGGUGGCUGGCUUCAUUAACAGCUGCUGCUACUGCUGCCGGAGUCGAGAGAAGGGAGAUGGCUGACCGGUGCUGUCCUCGCCGGGGAAGAAGACGACGCGGCGGCGCGGCUUACGCCGUGUC